rnacentral:rRNA from 1 species
AGUGAACGCUGGCGGUAGGCCUAACACAUGCAAGUCGAACGGCAGCACAGUAAGAGCUUGCUCUUACGGGUGGCGAGUGGCGGACGGGUGAGGAAUACAUCGGAAUCUACUUUUUCGUGGGGGAUAACGUAGGGAAACUUACGCUAAUACCGCAUACUACCUACGGGUGAAAGCAGGGGAUCUUCGGACCUUGCGCGAUUGAAUGAGCCGAUGUCGGAUUAGCUAGUUGGCGGGGUAAAGGCCCACCAAGGCGACGAUCCGUAGCUGGUCUGAGAGGAUGUUCAGCCACACUGGAACUGAGACACGGUCCAGACUCCUACGGGAGGCAGCAGUGGGGAAUAUUGGACAAUGGGCGCAAGCCUGAUCCAGCCAUACCGCGUGGGUGAAGAAGGCCUUCGGGUUGUAAAGCCCUUUUGUUGGGAAAGAAAAGCAGCAGGUUAAUACCCCGCUGUUCUGACGGUACCCAAAGAAUAAGCACCGGCUAACUUCGUG